rnacentral:rRNA from 1 species
ACGAUAACGGCGUCGAGCGGCGGACGGGUGAGUAAUGCCUAGGAAAUUGCCCUGAUGUGGGGGAUAACCAUUGGAAACGAUGGCUAAUACCGCAUGAUGCCUACGGGCCAAAGAGGGGGACCUUCGGGCCUCUCGCGUCAGGAUAUGCCUAGGUGGGAUUAGCUAGUUGGUGAGGUAAGGGCUCACCAAGGCGACGAUCCCUAGCUGGUCUGAGGAGGAUGAUCAGCCACACUGGAACUGAGACACGGUCCAGACUCCUACGGGAGGCAGCAGUGGGGAAUAUUGCACAAUGGGCGCAAGCCUGAUGCAGCCAUGCCGCGUGUGUGAAGAAGGCCUUCGGGUUGUAAAGCACUUUCAGUCGUGAGGAAGGUGGUGUAGUUAAUAGCUGCAUUAUUUGACGUUAGCGACAGAAGAAGCACCGGCUAACUCCGUGCCAGCAGCCGCGGUAAUACGGAGGGUGCGAGCGUUAAUCGGAAUUACUGGGCGUAAAGCGCAUGCAGGUGGUUUGUUAAGUCAGAUGUGAAAGCCCGGGGCUCAACCUCGGAAUAGCAUUUGAAACUGGCA